rnacentral:tRNA from 1 species
NAAUCCGUCGACUUUAGAAAUCGUGAGGGUUCAAGUCCCUCUAUCCCCA